rnacentral:tRNA from 1 species
AGUAAGGUCAGCUAACUAAGCUUUUGGGCCCAUACCCCAAACAUGUUGGUUAGAAUCCUUCCUUUACUA